rnacentral:rRNA from 1 species
CCCUUAGAUGUUCUGGGCUGCACGCGCGCUACACUGAUGCACUCAACGAGUUUACGACCUUGCCCGAUAGGGUUGGGUAAUCUUUUUAAAAUGCAUCGUGAUGGGGAUAGAUUAUUGCAAUUAUUAAUCAUCAACGAGGAAUUCCUAGUAAGCGCGAGUCAUCAGCUCGUGCUGAUUACGUCCCUGCCCUUUGUACGCACCGCCCGUCGCUCCUACCGAUUGAGUGCUCAGGUGAAUAAUUCGGACUGCAGCAAUGUUUGGAUCCCGAACGUUGCAGCGGAAAGUUUAGUGAACCUUAUCACUUAGAGGAAGGAGAAGUCGUAACA